UUCAAUAACAUGUUUCUCUGUUAAAUGUGCUCUGUUUGUCUGGAUAAUUCCACUUGAACCGUCAGCGGUGGACUAUAACAGAUCAUAAUCGCAGUUGUUUGGUGCAAGACCAUAGAAUGGUACCCAAUUUUGCCUGCCCUCAUUAGUCAUCACAAUAUAAAAGAUUUUACAUUUAGAAGACAAUCCUGCAAAUUUGCAACUGUACAAAUUGCACUUCAUCUCAUCUGCUGCUGGAAUAAAUAAUGAAAGAUUUUCAAACCAGUGUCCAAGAGCCUCCUAGAGUCUGGAAUGAUGGUGUUCUUUAUUAAGGAGAUCAGUGUGUGAUGUAUUUGUUUUCUGUGCAUUGAUGACAUUUGUGAAACUGUUCGGUUACUUUAUGACCAUCUCUCU